CCCUCAGUGGUGCAAAUGGUUAACACAUUCGACUACUAAUCGAAAGGUUGGUGGUUUGAGUCCACCCAGAGGCA